ACGCUGGCGGUAGGCCUAACACAUGCAAGUCGAACGGCAGCACAGGAGAGCUUGCUCUCUGGGUGGCGAGUGGCGGACGGGUGAGGAAUACAUCGGAAUCUACCUUUUCGUGGGGGAUAACGUAGGGAAACUUACGCUAAUACCGCAUACGACCUUCGGGUGAAAGCAGGGGACCUUCGGGCCUUGCGCGGAUAGAUGAGCCGAUGUCGGAUUAGCUAGUUGGCGGGGUAAAGGCCCACCAAGGCGACGAUCCGUAGCUGGUCUGAGAGGAUGAUCAGCCACACUGGAACUGAGACACGGUCCAGACUCCUACGGGAGGCAGCAGUGGGGAAUAUUGGACAAUGGGCGCAAGCCUGAUCCAGCCAUACCGCGUGGGUGAAGAAGGCCUUCGGGUUGUAAAGCCCUUUUGUUGGGAAAGAAAAGCAAUCGAUUAAUACUCGGUUGUUCUGACGGUACCCAAAGAAUAAGCACCGGCUAACUUCGUGCCAGCAGCCGCGGUAAUACGAAGGGUGCAAGCGUUACUCGGAAUUACUGGGCGUAAAGCGUGCGUAGGUGGUUGUUUAAGUCUGUUGUGAAAGCCCUGGGCUCAACCUGGGAAUUGCAGUGGAUACUGGGCAACUAGAGUGUGGUAGAGGGUAGUGGAAUUCCCGGUGUAGCAGUGAAAUGCGUAGAGAUCGGGAGGAACAUCCAUGGCGAAGGCAGCUACCUGGACCAACACUGACACUGAGGCACGAAAGCGUGGGGAGCAAAC
rnacentral:rRNA from 1 species